rnacentral:rRNA from 1 species
GAGUUAUGGCUCAGGAUGAACGCUGGCGGCGUGCUUAACACAUGCAAGUCGAACGGAGUUAGAUGAAAGCUGCUUUGACUAAACUAGUGGCGGACGGGUGAGUAACGCGUGGUAACCCGCCUUAUACAGGGGGAUAACAGUCGGAAACGACUGCUAAUACCGCAUAAGCGCACGGAAUCGCAUGAUUCAGUGUAGAAAAGAUCUAUCGGUAUAAGAUGGACCCGCGUCUGAUUAGCUAGUUGGUGAGGUAACGGCCCACCCAAGGCGACGAUCAGUAGCCGGCCUGAGAGGGUGAACGGCCACAUUGGGACUGAGACACGGCCCAAACUCCUACGGGAGGCAGCAGUGGGGAAUAUUGCACAAUGGGGGAAACCCUGAUGCAGCGACGCCGCGUGAGUGAAGAAGUAUUUCGGUAUGUAAAGCUCUAUCAGCAGGGAAGAAAAUGACGGUACCUGACUAAGAAGCCCCGGCUAACUACGUGCCAGCCGCCGC